rnacentral:rRNA from 1 species
CCUACGGGAGGCAGCAGUAGGGAAUAUUGGACAAUGGGCGAAAGCCUGAUCCAGCAAUGCCGCGUGAGUGAUGAAGGCCUUAGGGUUGUAAAGCUCUUUUACCCGGGAUGAUAAUGACAGUACCGGGAGAAUAAGCUCCGGCUAACUCCGUGCCAGCAGCCGCGGUAAU